CGCGUCAAGGCGGCAAUCGCGUGACCGGUAAUGUCCGCUUAUGCGUUGCGAUAACGCCAACUUAUUUGCCAUUUUAGCGGGAGUGUCGGACAAAGGGAGUGUCCAUCCUGAGAUCUCCGGCUUGCCGAUGACCACCCCGCCCCGCAUCCUCCCGUCCGGAGACACUGCCCUGGCGGUCGAAUUCGGCCGCAGCAUCGAUCCGGCGGUCAACCGGCAGGUCCUGGCGCUCGAUCGCGAACUCGCGAGCGCAGCCAUUGCGGGAGUCCUGGAAACCGUUCCGACCUAUCGCUCGCUGCUGGUUCACUACGAUCCCUUGCUGAUCGACUUCGCGACAUUGUCGCAAAAGCUGCUGGCGCUCGCGGAGCGGCCUGUUCCAGCACAAACCAACAUCCGG
rnacentral:misc_RNA from 1 species